UGAACGCUGUGCGGCAGGCUUAACACAUGCAAGUCGAGCGGGGGAAGGUAGCUUGCUACCGGACCUAGCGGCGGACGGGUGAGUAAUGCUUAGGAAUCUGCCUAUUAGUGGGGGACAACAUCUCGAAAAGGGAUGCUAAUACCGCAUACGUCCUACGGGAGAAAGCAGGGGAUCUUCGGACCUUGCGCUAAUAGAUGAGCCUAAAGUCGGAUUAGCUAGUUGGUGGGGUAAAGGCCUACCAAGGCGACGAUCUGUAGCGGUCUGAGAGGAUGAUCCGCCACACUGGGGACUGAGACACGGCCCAAGACUCCUACGGGAGGGCAGCAAGUGGGGAAUAUUGGCAAUGGGGGGAACCUGAUCAACCAUGCCGCNUUUUUAAGAAGCUUAUGGUUGUAAGCACUUUAGCNAGAGGAGGUACUUAGUUAUACUAAAAUAGUGGCCUUACCCAAUAAACCGGUACUUCACCGG
rnacentral:rRNA from 1 species